rnacentral:rRNA from 1 species
AUUGAACGCUGGCGGAAUGCUUCACACAUGCAAGUCGAACGGCAGCACGGGGGCAACCCUGGUGGCGAGUGGCGAACGGGUGAGUAAUGUAUCGGAACGUGCCCAGUGGUGGGGGAUAACGUAGUGAAAAUUACGCUAAUACCGAAUACGAUCUACGGAUGAAAGCGGGGGAUCGCAAGACCUCGCGCGAUUGGAGCGGCCGAUAUAAGAUGAGGGAGUUGGCGGGGUAAAGGCUCAGCAAGACAACGAACUGUAGCUGGUCUGAGAGGACGACCAGCCACACUGGAACUGAGACACGGUCCAGACUCCUACGGGAGGCAGCAGUGGGGAAUUUUGGACAAUGGGCGAAAGCCUGAUCCAGACAUUCCGCGUGCAGGAUGAAGGCCUUCGGGUUGUAAACUGCUUUUAUACGGAGCGAAAAGGCUCUCUCUAAUACAGGGGGCUCAUGACGGUACCGUAAGAAGAAGCACCGGCUAACUACGUGCCAGCAGCCGCCGUAAUAC